rnacentral:rRNA from 1 species
UACCCGCAGCACAAGUGGUGGUCAUUAUUAUUGGGCCUAAAGCGUCCGUAGCUGGCUUGUUAGAUGCCUGGGUAAAUCGAUGCGCUCAACGUAUCGAAUUCCGGGUAGACCGGCAAGCUCGAGACCGGGAGAGGUGUAGGCUACUCGAGGGGUAGGGGUAAAAUCCUGUAAUCCUUCGGGGAGGACCAGUGGCGAAGGCGCUACACUAGAACGGCUCUGACAGUGAGGGACGAAGCCCUGGGGCACAAACCGG